UGCCAUAUUGGACACACACAUACACACACCGCUCCUGCUUCAACCAGAACACCGGAUCGCUCAAUUCUGAUAGACGGCAAAAACUCGCAUAAGGCAUGGAUUGUGUAGAGGAGGAGGUGGAUUUUAACUGGGAGGAGUACCUUGAAGAGACUGGAGCCACUGCCGCCCCUCACACUUCAUUCAGACAUGUGGAGCUCAGCCUUCAGAGCAGUUUUCAGCCUGGAAUGAAGCUUGAAGUAGCUAAUAAGGGCAGUCUGGAUACAUAUUGGGUGGCCACCAUUAUAACCACAUGUGGUCAGUUGCUAUUGUUACGCUACUGUGGCUAUGGCGACGACCGCAAGGCUGACUUCUGGUGUGACGUCAUGACAGCCGAACUUCAUCCUGUCGGCUGGUGCGCUCAGAACAACAAAACACUUCAGCCACCUAAAGGUAAGGCGCAAGUGCACACAAACGUAAACCAGCACACCUUCAGAGAUGCAUGUAUACUCAAACAUAGAUAAAGCUCAUGUUGAAACAGUCCCUCCUGUCUAAACAUAUGACAUCCACCCACACACAAACACACACACACACACCCCCACACAGCUUCUUGCUAUGUAGCAAGUCCACCUUGUUUGUUCAAAU